rnacentral:rRNA from 1 species
AGUGAACGCUGGCGGUAGGCCUAACACAUGCAAGUCGAACGGCAGCACAGUAAGAGCUUGCUCUUACGGGUGGCGAGUGGCGGACGGGCGAGGAAUACAUCGGAAUCUACUUUUUCGUGGGGGAUAACGUAGGGAAACUUACGCUAAUACCGCAUACGACCUACGGGUGAAAGCAGGGGAUCUUCGGACCUUGCGCGAUUGAAUGAGCCGAUGUCGGAUUAGCUAGUUGGCGGGGUAAAGGCCCACCAAGGCGACGAUCCGUAGCUGGUCUGAGAGGAUGAUCAGCCACACUGGAACUGAGACACGGUCCAGACUCCUACGGGAGGCAGCAGUGGGGAAUAUUGGCCAAUGGGCGCAAGCCUGAUCCAGCCAUACUGCGUGGGUGAAGAAGGCCUUCGGGUUGUAAAGCCCUUUUGUUGGGAAAGAAAAGCAGCAGGUUAAUACCCCGCUGUUCUGACGGUACCCAAAGAAUAAGCACCGGCUAACUUCGUG